UCGAUGCUUUAAUACGGAGAUGUAAGAAUACUCCUGCCCUCUAGUGCAUACGCUGCGCAACAACAGUGUAAUUUUACGCGGGAGAUGGUACCUGCACUACAGUUUUGGAAAAUAGUGCAAAAUAUUAACAAAUCGUCGAUUUAUUUGAAAUGCCUGUUCAAAAUUGAUGGAAAUAAUUGGGAAUAGUGCUAAUGAAAAUAUCCCUUUCAAAAGACCUAGUUACAGAAAAUCCUCUCCCCCUGGUGGGAUACGGAGUGCACACAAAUAAUAACCCAUUACGGAUUAUAAGCAGAACACACUUAUAUUACCAACAUGAAGACUGAGUACCUGCUUAACUUUCGACGGAUAUCAGCCAAAGCAAAGAGUAUGUUUCACAAGAAGAAGCAGGAAAGCUGGAAACAAUUUUGGGAUAGCCGUUCACCAAAUACACCUGCAAAUCUGGUUUGGCACAAUGGCCUGAAAGGCGUGUGUACCAAGAGGUUCUCCAGCAAUCUCAGCAGAAACAGAUGAAAGUCUAUUUGACAGAUUAGCUCCUUCAACAGCCCCAGCGCAGAAAGAAUAUCUAGGGAGUCUUCCAACCAGAAUUAAUGUCAUAUAGAGAGAUUCAUUUACCAUGUAAUUAUUAAGUCUUGGAAACCUCUGUUGCCCUUUAUUCGAACCAGAAUACACAUCUGGCAAAGAUUAGAAUCACUAUAAUUCUUCAUUUGAACAUUUUUUGUAGCAGACUUUUCAGAAGAGGUAAACAAAUUCUUAUCCAGCGAUGAUAUUAUUAUGUAUUUAUAUAAUUAUGAUUAAAAACAAUUUGCUAUUAAGUAUUUAUUUUAGUUUAGUAUUUUUACUUUAACUGAUAAAGACAUAUUAAAACAAGUACUAUAUGACAGAACGAAGUUUGAAUGAAAACGAAGAAGUAUUUGAGGAAACGAAACGAAUGACAAAAGUCCGACAUAUUAGAGUCGUGUCUACAUUAAAUGAAAUAGGCGGAUGAAAUAGAUAUUUGCAUUCCAGAAAAAAAUGUUGUUUCGUAAAUUGAGGAAUGAAGCAUUUUCUAUGUCACGUAAUAACAUGCGCCAAAGUACCAUAGCAGAUUAUUUAAAAAAAAAAUUAUAUGUAUUUAAAAUACUAAUAUAUAUAUUAAUACCCUCCAAAGGGUAGAUUGAAAUUAAAUAGAAAAAAAAAUGUAUUGUUUUUUAUAAAUUUCGGUUUGUUUUAGAUAUUACGCUUAAGGAAAACACCGUCUGAAUUACAGAUAUUGCAUACAACAAUAUAAACUAGAUUUGAUAUUGUUAAUUUAGGCUGUAAAAGUUACAUUAAAUUAGAAUAAGUGAAUUUAAUUUAGUUCAAUUUUGUGUUUUAUUUUUACCACUUAGUAUAAUAAAUAAAUAGUAUUUUUAUUUCUUUGUUUAAUAAAAUAAUUCAUUUUAUUAGUUUUAUUAUAGGGGUUUAAUUAAAUAUUAAAAGAAUUGAUUGUAACUACACUCGUUAACAGAAAUAAAGCAAUUAAUUGAACUCACUGUCCAUACAAGAAACAUUGCAUGUUUGUGCCAUUAUAACUGGAUAGUCCAAAAAGAUAAUUUAUGUCUACAGGUAUUUAGAUGGACAAUUUUAACUCUGUAAUUUUAAUUAAAAAAAAAAAUUAUUUGAUUUCUUCUCCACAAAGACUUAUUAAUUUUGUUUGUAAACUUUUUUAAUUCAAUUUAUUUUACAAUAUUAUUAACAUCUAUGAAAUGGUGUAGCUCAUGAAAAAAUGCCAAGUGACAAAAGCUAAUACCCUCAAAAAAGCCUGUUCAAUUAAAUAAAGACUAUAAAGACUCUCAGCAAUAAGACCGCCUUACUGUACUUAAGACAAUUUACAAACACAACGAUACAAUUGUAAUUGUAUCGUUGUGUUUGUAAAUUGUCUUGUAUAUUUCCUAUAAUGCAAAUAAAGCCAAUCAAUCAAUCUUUAUUCAUAUACAUCUGUUACAGAUUCUUAUGAUACAUCUAAUUUAUAAUUAUAAUAAUUACUAUAUAAAAUAAUAUUAAUUUAAAAAAAAUUACAAUAAUUACAUUUACAAUACAAUUAUACUCAUUCAAGUAUACUCAUUCAUUCAUUCUAAAAAAUGUGGAGUUAUUUAAACAUAAAAAAAAUUAUCAAAGUUAACGAUCAAGACCUGCUCUUAGGAGAAUCCAACCAAUUAUUUUACAAUAUUAAUAACAACAAUAUGAAAUAGGGUGGCACAUGAAAAAUACAAAUACCCUCGAGAAAGCCUAUUUGAUUAAUUAAAGAAUAUAAAAAAGUG